UGGUACUGUACUAAUGAUAUCCCUGGCUGGAUGGGAGCAUUCCAUGUGCUCAGCAUGGUAUCCCUGGUUAGAUGUGAGCAUUCCAUACCUGGUUAGAUGUGAGCAUGGUUCCAUGUGCUCAGUAUGGCAUCCCUGGCUAGAUGUGAGCAUUCCAUGUCCUCAGUAUGGCAUCCCUGGUUAGAUGUGAGCAUUCCAUGUGCUCAGUAUGAUAUCCC